rnacentral:other from 1 species
GUUACAAUUAACAAGAAUCCCUAUUAGGGAUUGNAAA